GACGAACGUUGGCGGCGUGCUUAUCACAUGCAAGUCGAACGGAAAGGCCCUUCGGGGUUCUUGAGUGGCGAACGGGUGAGUAACACGUGGGUGAUCUGCCCCGCACUUUGGGAUAAGCCUGGGAUACUGGGUCUAAUACCGAAUAGGACCACGCGCUUCAUGGUGUGUGGUGGUAAGCUUUUGCGGUGUGGGAUGGGCCCGCGGCCUAUCAGCUUGUUGGUGGGGUAAUUGCUUACCAAGGCGACGACGGGUAGCCGGCAUGAGAGGGUGACCGGCCACACUGGGACUGAGAUACGACCCAGACGCCUACGGGAGGCAGAAGUGGGAAAUAGUGCACAAUGAGCGCAAGCCUGAUGCAGCGGCGCCGCGUGAGGGAUGACGGCCUUCGGGUUGUAAACCUCUUUCAAAAGGGACGAAGCGCAAGUGACGGUACCUAUAGAAGAAGCACCGGCCAACUAGGUG
rnacentral:rRNA from 1 species